rnacentral:rRNA from 1 species
UACAGAGGUCUCAAGCGUUGUUCGGAUUCAUUGGGCGUAAAGGGCGCGUAGGCGGCGAGGUAAGUCGGGUGUGAAAUCUCAGAGCUCAACUCUGAAACUGCACUCGAUACUGCUUUGCUAGAGGACUGGAGAGGAGAUUGGAAUUCACGGUGUAGCAGUGAAAUGCGUAGAGAUCGUGAGGAAGACCAGUGGCGAAGGCGGAUCUCUGGACAGUUCCUGACGCUGAGGCGCGAAGGCCAGGGGGAAGGCAAACGGG